ACUUGCCUGUUUCUUUUUGUCUUGUAACUUAUCAUUGAACACUGGAUACUUUAGGUUAUAGACUCUUCAACUCUGGAUUCUGAAUCUUUUCUGCUGAGAGUUGUUACUGUUUGUUCGUUUGUUUGUAACCAGCCUGUACUAAAUUUGUAAAUUCUGUGAGCAGCGUGUAUCCGGAGCCAUCUCUGCUCAUUUUUUGUUUGUUUCUUAUGCAUGGCUUCCCAGGAACCGCUCCUUUAUCUGCGUGCUUGGUAUUCUGCCAACAGUUGUCUGAAUUUGUAUACGAACACCUUGAGUCGGUGAGGCUUCCACUGUUGCUGAUGGAUCUACCCGUGGACUAGGGCGUGCACACAGAGCUCAGGCCAUCUGCUUUCCACAGGCAUCUCCCCUCGCUGUGUCUUCUCUUCGCAUGAGCUCAGGCACCGUCAUCAGUCAGUGAUGCUGGGUGGUUUGGGCAGGUUCCGGUCUCUGAGGAGAAGAGCAGAGCUACUGGUCCUUCCUGUUUGUUUGCAUCAAUAUCCCUAUUUGAAAAUUCUCCAAAUCAUGUGAGUCCCUCUGGUGGUGACAGCAAAGCUGCUGGUUUCAUGGCGUUCAACAAAUGUGUUUUAUAUUUAGGUCUAUGGGCCGGGAGUGGUGGCUCAGGCCUGUAAUCCAAGCACUUUGGGAGACUGAGGUGGGGGGGGCGGAUCACCGGAAGUCAGGAGUUCAAGACCAGCCUGGCCAACAUGGUGAAACCCCGUCUCUACUAAAAAUACAAAAUUUAGCCAGGCAUGGUGGUGGUCACCUGUCAUCCCAGCUACUCAGGGGGCUGAGGCUGGAGAAUCGCUUGAACCUGGGAGGCAGAGGUUGCAGUGAGCCGAGAUUGCACACAAUAAAUAAAUGAUUUAAUGCCCAUACAAUGGAGUGCCGUGCAGCUCUUAAAAAGAAUGCCACGAGGAUGGUCAACACAUGCUGUUCUCCUGGAUGAGGAUUAUUACCAUCAGCUCCAUUUUUCAGAUAUUAUAUGGAGCCUUAAAGCCUCCUGGAGUGAGAGCUAGUUCAUAACCAUGCUGUUUGGAGAGAAGAAAACUACCUGGAAUUCUUGUUCUCCAAAGAUGUGGAAUUAUCAUCCCAACAACAGCCGUCCUUCACUCUGUCCGGGGGCCUUCAGGUGGAGAGAGGAGGAGAUCCCAUUGCCUGUGAGGAGGACACGGCUCCUGGGUGGACCCUGCAGAUUGUGAAGUUCAAGUCACAGCUCCUGGGAAGGUCUCUGUGUGUAAAGAUUGUGGGGGUGAGAUAGAUUCAGGGACCACACUCUGCUCUGCUCUAUAUCUCUGAGUGUCGAUCCAGCUGCCUUGUGACCAGGACACUUGGAAGAACCAUGGACCCUGCAAGAGGGCAGGUUCAGAGAGUGAGAUGAGCACGCUUGAGGGAUUAAAGUGUAACUUGAACCACUGCCUUGCAAACUGCGUGAGGGCAUGCAGGUGUGUGUCUGUGCGUGUGUGUGCUGGGAAGAUGUUUAGCAGCCUCGUGGAGGGGUAACUGACAUACAAGAGAACAAGG